UUAAGUUCAGCGGGUAGUCCUACCUGAUUUGAGGUCAAAUUGUCAAAGGUAUAGAAGCGAGUCUAAACCCAGUCCACGGCGUAGAUAAUUAUCACACCAAUAGACGGAGGUUCAGUAUGAACUCGCUAAUGCAUUUCAGGGGAGCAGACCAGCGCUGAGGCAGCCUGCACAAACCCCCACAUCCAAGCCUCGGGUACCGU
rnacentral:misc_RNA from 1 species